AUUUGAUGCUGCGGGCAUCUAGUGCACAACUUGUUAAACCUUUCCCAGUAUUCAUACAACGACUCACCGGGAUAUUGUUUAAUGCCGCAUAUCUCCUUCCUCAAACU